rnacentral:rRNA from 1 species
GACGAACGCUGGCGGCGUGCUUAACACAUGCAAGUCGAACGAAGAGCGACGGAAGCUUGCUUCUAUCAAUCUUAGUGGCGAACGGGUGAGUAACGCGUAAUCAACCUGCCCUUCGGAGGGGGACAACAGUUGGAAACGACUGCUAAUACCGCAUACGAUCUAACCUCGGCAUCGAGGAUAGAUGAAAGGUGGCCUCUACAUGUAAGCUAUCACUGAAGGAGGGGAUUGCGUCUGAUUAGCUAGUUGGAGGGGUAACGGCCCACCAAGGCGAUGAUCAGUAGCCGGUCUGAGAGGAUGAACGGCCACAUUGGGACUGAGACACGGCCCAGACUCCUACGGGAGGCAGCAGUGGGGAAUCUUCCGCAAUGGACGAAAGUCUGACGGAGCAACGCCGCGUGAGUGAUGACGGCCUUCGGGUUGUAAAGCUCUGUUAAUCGGGACGAAAGGCCUUCUUGCGAAUAGUGAGAAGG